CAGCCGCCGCGGUAAAACGAAGGGUGCAAGCGUUAAUCGGAAUUACUGGGCGUAAAGCGUGCGUAGGCGGUUUGUUAAGUCUGUUGUGAAAUCCCCGGGCUCAACCUGGGAAUGGCAAUGGAUACUGGCAAGCUAGAGUGUGUCAGAGGAUGGUGGAAUUCCCGGUGUAGCGGUGAAAUGCGUAGAGAUCGGGAGGAACAUCAGUGGCGAAGGCGGCCAUCUGGGACAACACUGACGCUGAGGCACGAAAGCGUGGGGAGCAAACAGGAUUAGAGACCCCCGUAGUCCCUGUCUCUUAUAC
rnacentral:rRNA from 1 species